GCUAAAUAAGACUGUUUUCAAGCAGUGUUGUGUUCCUGUUGGUGAGUAAGGUGACCAGAGCUCCUGGGGGGAUAUGGAGGUAGGGUCGGCCAUGCGCUUGAAAUGCUUCUGAUGGUGCAGGCUUCUAUAACCUACGGUA